GGUACUUCGAGGUGAACCCCCAGGUUUUCACGCUCCGGUGAAACUCUCUCCAUGUGGUGCGAUUUCUUCGCCUCGUCGCCACCCCCAGCUCCAGAGGAGCGGCACAAGGCUCCCGGUCACCGCACCGAGGCGGCGGCGGCGGCAACCUGACCCCGGCCCGGCUGUCGGCGAACACCCCUGCAGAGAGCAGAAGAGCCUCCGGAACGCGCAGCCCCCGCCCGCUACAUCUUUGGACAUCUUAAUCUUCAGCUACAUAGCAGAAGACGAAUAUCCCAGGCUCAAAAGAUAUGAUCCUGAGAGCGUCAAGUUCCUCACCACACAGAGGAAUCUAACAAGUCUGAUUUCCAUCCCAAGACAUGGGUCUCUUCAUCUAUUCUGAGCACGAAGUUUCAUUUACUUCAAAGGCGUUCCUACAGAGAGGAAAAAGAACGAGAGCCUGGCCU